CUAAAGGCUCCACAAAAUAAUAUCUUGCAUGGAUGUAAGUCACAUUGAAAUGUAUUUGCAGCAACAGUAGCAGCUGUGUAUGAAUCAAUCAUUAGUUGCAUAGACAUGGGCGGUCUACUAGCAACCAUAGGAGUAUCUAUAUUGACAGUAAUAUUGUUGACAUUAUACGUAAUCGUUUCAUUUAGCAGUAAUGAAUUUGUGUUGUUAUCUGGCUAGGGUUCCCUUCCGUUACUAUGGAACAGCAUAAUUUGUUAUACCUAAGUAAUCAACCGUUU
rnacentral:lncRNA from 1 species